GGCCCCAUCGUCUAGUGGCCCAGGACAUCAGCUUCUCAAGCUGAAAACACGGGUUCGAUUCCCGUUGGGGCUA
rnacentral:tRNA from 2 species